CCUACGGGGGGCAGCAGUGAGGAAUAUUGGUCAAUGGGCGGGAGCCUGAACCAGCCAAGCCGCGUGAGGGAAGAAGGUACAGCGUAUCGUAAACCUCUUUUGUCAGGGAACAAAGGCGGGGACUAGUCCCCGGAUGAGGGUACCUGAAGAAAAAGCAUCGGCUAACUCCGUGCCAGCAGCCGCGGUAAUACGGAGGAUGCGAGCGUUAUCCGGUUUUAUGGGGUUAAAAGGGGGCGCAGGCGGCAUCCUAAGUCUGCGGUAAAAGCCCGGGGCUAAACCAAGACGAGCCGUUGAAACUGGCGGGCUGGAGUUGGAGAGAGGUACGCGGAAUGCGCGGUGUAGCGGUGAAAUGCUUAGAUAUCGCGCAGAACCCCGAUUGCGAAGGCAGCGUACCGGCUCCACACUGACGCUGAGGCACGAAAGCGUGGGUAUCGAACAGGAUUAGAUACCCUUGUAGUC
rnacentral:rRNA from 1 species